CCCUUAGAUGUUCUGGGCUGCACGCGCGCUACACUGAAGCUAUCAACACGUUUUCCCUCCCUGAGGAGGGCGGGUAACCUUUUGAAUCAGCUUCGUGGUAGGGAUCGGGGCUUGCAAUUGUUCCCCGUGAACCAGGAAUUCCUAGUAGACGCGAGUCAUAAGCUCGCAUCGAUUAAGUCCCUGCCCUUUGUACACACCGCCCGUCGCUACUACCGAUUGAGCGUUUUAGUGAGGCAUUUGGACCGACGCAUCUCAGUUUAACCGCUGGUUUGUGUUGGAAAGACUUCCAAACUUGAGCGUUUAGAGGAAGUAAAAGUCGUAACA
rnacentral:rRNA from 1 species